rnacentral:lncRNA from 1 species
UGGGCGGUGCGACGGUACAGCGGCGGCUCGUUCGUACUGUCAUAGGAGACUGUGGUACUGUUUACAGUGUAUUAAAAUACCUUCUGGUACGCUGUAGUACUUUUCGCCUGCUCAAGCGGCUCAAGUGUUAUGAUCGAGUUUUCGAGUGAAGAACGGCAGCAGUGACACCGCUUUGUUUCGAUUCGUCCUUCUACACGCGGUGGGGAGAUGCAGCUGGACCUUCUUGUCCCCUUCAAAAGCGCAUUGACACUGGUCCGUGAAGAAAGAGCACCUGUCUUCACUGUUCAUAUGACAUUCUGUGCCAAUGGCCUCACUGCAAGAGGAAAACCUUGGAUGAAGUGAUUGAUAGCUGUUGUUCAGUGUGACCUUGAAGUAAUGUAGGGUUAAUUUUGCUACAGAGAAGAAAGCAAUGACAAUAAAUUUGAGACACAAACAAGGCCAACACAAGGUGUAUUUUGUUUGUUGAAUAGUGAGCUAUCACAUUUGCACUGUUUCCUUGACAUAAGCCAGUGCAUUGGCUGUUGACAUUGAUUAUUGACAUUGGCUGCUGAUAGCCAGUAUGCUAUUAUUUUGCUAUUCUAAUUUAAGUAGUCUUUUCUGCUACCUCCAUCAGCUGGUGAAUGUUGUCAGAAUUUCAGGGGCUGCGAGGAACGACCCAAUGUGAGCUCUUAUUCUCACACUAUCACAACAGUGGCAGACUGGCUGACAAAACCUGCUGCUUGGGCUUCAUCUGCGACUCGUAGAGUACUAGAAACCAUUGAGCCCACCAAACCCUGUGUAAGCAGCUGCAUCUUUCCCUGAGUUGGCACUAAGAAGGAAGUUCCAUACCCGUGAUCUUGUUGACCAACUUUCUGCAUGGGAGUCCCGGUUGUCAGUAGAAGAUUGCAACAAAGUAUUCCAGGGUGAAAAUCAAGCCUUUCCGGUUAGCAGAUACGGUGGGCCUCCUAAUCGAAACAUGGCUCCAGGGCCAACAACGAGCUCUUUGUGGUAGGUAGG